UUAAAAAAUACUUUUAUGUAGUCAAAGGUGGAUCCAGAAGUGUUCUUCAAGAAUUCAGGGUUUACAGUGUGGCAGCCCUGUCGUGUUGUUUGGCCAAGUGCUUGUAGAGCUUUCGCCUCGCCAAUCACCUAUAAGUUCAGAGGAUGAAGUGUAGAACAUGGGACAUCUACCUCUUUUAGGUGUCAUGGGUGCUAGGGGUGCAGGAGCCUGGUUGUCAUGGUAACCUCUUCAAACGUUACGGUUAGGGGCUACCAUGUCUUUCACUCAUGCCAAAAUUACCACUACCAUGAGCUUUAAUAUGUAGUUACUUUUAAAAAUUGUAAAAUGCUGCAAUCUUUGGUUAAAAAUGGCCUCCAUAUUUGAAUUUACGAAACGAAUCCUGAUGUAGUGCUAGACAUUGCUUGAGCAGGGAUGACAGGAUAUGUGAAUUCCAUUAAUACGCAGGACGCAAAGAAUUGUUAAAAAGGUAGUAUUAAUCCCCACGAAAGCCUCACAUAUCCUGAGAUUGCGGAGUGGGGGAUUAGCUUUGACUGGUAGUAAAUAGACCUCGUUUUGAGUAGAUAGAACAGACGAUGUCAGUACAGGUCACAAGUCAAUCUGGGAAAUAAAGUAGUAUAAAAUGAAACAGUUCUUGUGGUAUCCCAAUGUCUUAUACGUUUAGAAAUUCCAGUACUUAGUACAAAAAUGGGAAAUGGAAUGAUUUUUUAUGCUUCACAAACUUAGACUACAAAAACUCAAAUAAGGGUAAUGUUGGUAAUUGGAAUACAAUAAAUGUGAUGUAAUACCCAGUUUGUUUGAACUACUCUGUUAAAUAGGAAAUUGUUUACCAGUAUUACAAUAAAAAUGAAUAAAGUCUUGAUCAUCUGAUCAAUAACAGGGCUA